AUUUAUUUUUUUUAAAGGUUGCUCAAGUAGAAGUGUGAAGGACAAGACUAUGCCUAGGGGACCACUCACUUAAGACAAAAGAGAGAGUGGUAGAGGAGGAUGAAGCUGUAGACAUAGAGGCCAAAAUCUUAUUCUGUCCUAUUAACUUCUUGGUAGAAUCCUUCCGUGACAGUCAUGUUCUGUUAUCUCAACCACUGAUGCUUUUACAAAGAGCUAGAGCAAUGACCGUGUUACUUACAAUGCCCAGCGAGCAAGCACUACAUCCCACAGGUCGCAAGAGCUGUCCACCAAGGUGGUUGUGAAUUGUCAUCAGAAGACUGACGGGACAGGCAUGUGCUCGUAGAGAAUCCAGCCAUCAUCCUGCCCAGUCUCUCCCCAUCUGGCUCAAACCACUCUCUGCUUUUCACAGAGAGCAGCUUAACAGCUUAACAACAGGACUUUAUACAGUUAUAAAUAAAUAAUCCAGGUUCUCAUUCCUAAAAUGGAAC
rnacentral:lncRNA from 12 species